rnacentral:rRNA from 1 species
AAGCCAGUGGUGAACUCCACAUACGCAUCCUUUGCUGAGGAUACGGUUAACGGAGCGAAAGCGACGUUCAACCUCAAAAGAAGCAGAGGGGGCUUAGUGGUGGGGUGACUGCGUACCUUUUGUAUAAUGGGUCAGCGACUUAUAUUCUGUAGCAAGGUUAACCGAAUAGGGGAGCCGGAGGGAAACCGAGUCUUAACCGGGCGUUAAGUUGCAGGGUAUAGACCCGAAACCCGGUGAUCUAGCCAUGGGCAGGUUGAAGGUUGGGUAACACUAACUGGAGGACCGAACCGACUAAUGUUGAAAAAUUAGCGGAUGACCUGUGGCUGGGGGUGAAAGGCCAAUCAAACCGGGAGAUAGCUGGUUCUCCCCGAAAGCUAUUUAGGUAGCGCCUCGUGAAUUCAUCUCCGGGGGUAGAGCACUGUUUCGGCUAGGGGGCCAUCCCGGCUUACCAACCCGAUGCAAACUGCGAAUACCGGAGAAUGUUAUCACGGGAGACACACGGCGGGUGCUAACGUCCGUCGUGAAGAGGGAAACAACCCAGACCGCCAGCUAAGGUCCCAAAGUCAUGGUUAAGUGGGAAACGAUGUGGGAAGGCCCAGACAGCCAGGAUGUUGGCUUAGAAGCAGCCAUCAUUUAAAGAAAGCGUAAUAGCUCACUGGUCGAGUCGGCCUGCGCGGAAGAUGUAACGGGGCUAAACCAUGCACCGAAGCUGCGGCAGCGACGCUUAUGCGUUGUUGGGUAGGGGAGCGUUCUGUAAGCCUGUGAAGGUGGCCUGUGAGGGUUGCUGGAGGUAUCAGAAGUGCGAAUGCUGACAUAAGUAACGAUAAAGCGGGUGAAAAGCCCGCUCGCCGGAAGACCAAGGGUUCCUGUCCAACGUUAAUCGGGGCAGGGUGAGUCGACCCCUAAGGCGAGGCCGAAAGGCGUAGUCGAUGGGAAACGGGUUAAUAUUCCCGUACUUGGUGUUACUGCGAAGGGGGGACGGAGAAGGCUAUGUUGGCCGGGCGACGGUUGUCCCGGUUUAAGCGUGUAGGUGUGUGUUCCAGGUAAAUCCGGUUCACUUUAACACUGAGGCGUGAUGACGAGGCACUACGGUGCUGAAGCAACAAAUGCCCUGCUUCCAGGAAAAGCCUCUAAGCAUCAGGUAACAUCAAAUCGUACCCCAAACCGACACAGGUGGUCAGGUAGAGAAUACCAAGGCGCUUGAGAGAACUCGGGUGAAGGAACUAGGCAAAAUGGUGCCGUAACUUCGGGAGAAGGCACGCUGACACGUAGGUGAAGUGAUUUACUCAUGGAGCUGAAGUCAGUCGAAGAUACCAGCUGGCUGCAACUGUUUAUUAAAAACACAGCACUGUGCAAACACGAAAGUGGACGUAUACGGUGUGACGCCUGCCCGGUGCCGGAAGGUUAAUUGAUGGGGUCAGCGCAAGCGAAGCUCCUGAUCGAAGCCCCGGUAAACGGCGGCCGUAACUAUAACGGUCCUAAGGUAGCGAAAUUCCUUGUCGGGUAAGUUCCGACCUGCACGAAUGGCGUAAUGAUGGCCAGGCUGUCUCCACCCGAGACUCAGUGAAAUUGAACUCGCUGUGAAGAUGCAGUGUACCCGCGGCAAGACGGAAAGACCCCGUGAACCUUUACUAUAGCUUGACACUGAACAUUGAGCCUUGAUGUGUAGGAUAGGUGGGAGGCUUUGAAGCGUGGACGCCAGUCUGCGUGGAGCCGACCUUGAAAUACCACCCUUUAAUGUUUGAUGUUCUAACGUGGACCCGUGAUCCGGGUUGCGGACAGUGUCUGGUGGGUAGUUUGACUGGGGCGGUCUCCUCCUAAAGAGUAACGGAGGAGCACGAAGGUUGGCUAAUCCUGGUCGGACAUCAGGAGGUUAGUGCAAUGGCAUAAGCCAGCUUGACUGCGAGCGUGACGGCGCGAGCAGGUGCGAAAGCAGGUCAUAGUGAUCCGGUGGUUCUGAAUGGAAGGGCCAUCGCUCAACGGAUAAAAGGUACUCCGGGGAUAACAGGCUGAUACCGCCCAAGAGUUCAUAUCGACGGCGGUGUUUGGCACCUCGAUGUCGGCUCAUCACAUCCUGGGGCUGAAGUAGGUCCCAAGGGUAUGGCUGUUCGCCAUUUAAAGUGGUACGCGAGCUGGGUUUAGAACGUCGUGAGACAGUUCGGUCCCUAUCUGCCGUGGGCGCUGGAGAACUGAGGGGGGCUGCUCCUAGUACGAGAGGACCGGAGUGGACGCAUCACUGGUGUUCGGGUUGUCAUGCCAAUGGCACUGCCCGGUAGCUAAAUGCGGAAGAGAUAAGUGCUGAAAGCAUCUAAGCACGAAACUUGCCCCGAG